GUCUGCCUGGCUCCCUGUAUGCCAUCUCAGAAGCCUGUCAAAAAAUUGAUAUCCUCUAUAGUUGGCAUGCAUGGAGCCAUGCAGAU
rfam:Picea glauca, whole genome shotgun sequence.